rnacentral:rRNA from 1 species
GAUGAACGCUGGCGGCGUGCCUAAUACAUGCAAGUCGAGCGAACGGACGAGAAGCUUGCUUCUCUGAUGUUAGCGGCGGACGGGUGAGUAACACGUGGAUAACCUACCUAUAAGACUGGGAUAACUUCGGGAAACCGGAGCUAAUACCGGAUAAUAUUUUGAACCGCAUGGUUCAAAAGUGAAAGACGGUCUUGCUGUCACUUAUAGACGGAUCCGCGCUGCAUUAGCUAGUUGGUAAGGUAACGGCUUACCAAGGCAACGAUGCUUAGCCGACCUGAGAGGGUGAUCGGCCACACUGGAACUGAGACACGGUCCAGACUCCUACGGGAGGCAGCAGUAGGGAAUCUUCCGCAAUGGGCGAAAGCCUGACGGAGCAACGCCGCGUGAGUGAUGAAGGUCUUCGGAUCGUAAAACUCUGUUAUUAGGGAAGAACAUAUGUGUAAGUAACUGUGCACAUCUUGACGGUACCUAAUCAGAAAGCCAUGGCUAACUACGUG